rnacentral:rRNA from 1 species
GGGCCCGCACAAGCGGUGGAGCAUGUGGUUUAAUUCGAUGAUACGCGAGGAACCUUACCAGGGCUUAAAUGUAAGUUGCAUAGACCAGAGAUGGUCUUUUCUUCGGACUACUUACAAGGUGCUGCAUGGUUGUCGUCAGCUCGUGCCGUGAGGUGUCAGGUUAAGUCCUAUAACGAGCGCAACCCCUGUCGUUAGUUGCCAUCAAGUAAAGUUGGGUACUCUAGCGAGACUGCCGGUGCAAACCGUGAGGAAGGUGGGGAUGACGUCAAAUCAUCACGGCCCUUACGUCCUGGGCUACACACGUGCUACAAUGGCCGGUACAGAGAGCAGCCACUACGCGAGUAGGAGCGAAUCUAUAAAACCGGUCUCAGUUCGGAUCGCAGUCUGCAACUCGACUGCGUG